AGCAAAAUUCACCAAGCGUUGGAUUUUUCACCCAUGCAAGGGGAACGUGAGCUGGGUUUAGACCGUUGUGAGACAGGUUAUUUUUACCCUACUAAUGACAAAACGUUGUUGCGACAGCAUUCCUGCGUAGUACGAGAGGAACCGCAGGUACGGACCAAUGGCACAAUACUUGUUCGAGCGAACAGUGGUAUGACGCUACGUCCGUUGGAUUAUGCCUGAACGCCUCUAAGGUCGUAUCCGUGCUGGACUGCAAUGAUAAAUAAGGGGCAAUUUGCAUUGUAUGGCUUCUAAACCAUUUAAAGUUUAUUAUUUAUAUUUUAAACGACAAUGGAUGUGAUGCCAAUGUAAUUUGUAACAUAGUAAAUUGGGAGGAUCUUUGAUCACCUGGUGCCAUGCUAGUUACAUAUGAAAACAUUAUUUAAUACAAUGACAAAGCCUAGAAUCAAUUGUAAACGACUUUUGUAACGGGCAAGGUGUUGUAAGUGGUUGAGCAGCUGCCAUACUGCGAUCCACUGAAGCUUAUCCUUUGCUUGAUGAUUCGA
rfam:Drosophila ananassae strain TSC#14024-0371.13 Ctg01_5382, whole genome shotgun sequence.